AUACUGGUAGAUAAAACAAGUUCUCUUAGAUAAAAUUCUCAAUCGUACCGGUCAUAAAGUUCAUAUUUUAAUGUUUGAUAAAGCAGAACUUUAAAAGUGUGCAGUGAAUCUUGUGCUCCCAACAGUUAUUUCAUAUGUAUAAAUCAGACAUUAUAUAGGCAUUUGGAAGAUACCAACAAGUAUUUUACAGUUAAUGAUCAUGAAG
rnacentral:lncRNA from 1 species